rnacentral:rRNA from 1 species
UUGAAACCAGGGAUUGAUACCCUGUUACUCUUUAUUUUAAAUAAACAUACCUGGGUAUUAAACAGUUAUUGUCUUGAAACUCAAAGGAUUUGGCGGUAACUUAGUCUAUUUAGAGGAACCUGUCCUAUAAACGAUAAACCACGUAAAAUCUUACCUUAUAUUGUAGAUCCAGUUUGUAUACCGUCAUUAUUAGGUAACUUUAAUAAAAAUCAGUUACUGCAAUAAGUUUUUCUUAGUAUAUUAGAUCAAGGUGCAGCUGAUAAUAAGGUAGUGAUGGGUUACAAUAUAACGAGUAUAAACGAAUUAAGGAAUUAUAUUUCCUUAUGAAGGAGGAUUUAAUAGUAGAAGGAUUUUAAUAUGAUUUUUCGAUUUUAGCUCUAGGUUAUGUACAUAUCGCCCGUCGCUAA